rnacentral:rRNA from 1 species
CAGCCGCCGCGGUAAUACGUAGGGUGCAAGCGUUAAUCGGAAUUACUGGGCGUAAAGCGUGCGCAGGCGGUUUGUUAAGACAGAUGUGAAAUCCCCGGGCUCAACCUGGGAACUGCAUUUGUGACUGGCAGGCUAGAGUAUGGCAGAGGGGGGUGGAAUUCCGCGUGUAGCAGUGAAAUGCGUAGAUAUAGGAAGGAACACCAGUGGCGAAGGCGACCACCUGGGCUCAUACUGACACUGAGGUGCGAAAGCGUGGGGAGCAAACAGGAUUAGAUACCCCGGUAGUCCCUGUCUCUUAACA